CAGUGGGGAAUCUUAGACAAUGGGCGCAAGCCUGAUCUAGCCAUGCCGCGUGUGUGAUGAAGGUCUUAGGAUCGUAAAGCACUUUCGCCAGGGAUGAUAAUGACAGUACCUGGUAAAGAAACCCCGGCUAACUCCGUGCCAGCAGCCGCGGUAAUACGGAGGGGGUUAGCGUUGUUCGGAAUUACUGGGCGUAAAGCGUACGUAGGCGGAUUGGAAAGUUGGGGGUGAAAUCCCAGGGCUCAACCCUGGAACUGCCUCCAAAACUAUCAGUCUAGAGUUCGAGAGAGGUGAGUGGAAUUCCAAGUGUAGAGGUGAAAUUCGUAGAUAUUUGGAGGAACACCAGUGGCGAAGGCGGCUCACUGGCUCGAUACUGACGCUGAGGUACGAAAGUGUGGGGAGCAAACAGGAUUAGAUACCCUGGUAGUCCACACCGUAAACGAUGAAUGCCAGUCGUCGGGCAGUAUACUGUUCGGUGACACACCUAACGGAUUAAGCAUUCCGCCUGGGGGAGUACGGUCGCAAGAUUAAAACCUCAAAGGAAUUUGACGGGGGGCCCGCACAAGCGGUGGAGCAUGUGGUUUUAAUUCGAAGCAACGCGCAGAACCUUUACCAACCCCUUGACAUCCUGUGCUAACCCGAGAGAUCGG
rnacentral:rRNA from 1 species